CUAAUUAAGAUUUUAUUAAUUUAUUUUCGUUUGAACAUACGCAUUAAAUACAACCAGAAAUAAAACAUAAAAACAUGUUUGUUACUUACGCUGAACUAACCACCAAAAUUAUACAGAUCUUGUUAUAAGACUACCGCUUUUUUUCAUUUGGCCAACACACACAUAGUUUAGUUUGUGCAACUAAGGGAAAAGUUUGAUCGUGGGAAAUUAUAAGUUGCAUUAUUACGCUUUGAUGAGUCAAGUCAAUGUGAGUUGUGCACCUUAACUGGUGUUUACAGUCAUUCUGACAGUGUUAUCACGAAGUAAAGAAACGGAGGCGUAAUACGUAAUAGUCUUGAUUGAAAGGUGAGUUUUUCAACUACUACAGGACUGGUGAAGAACUGAAUUUAGUCAAUGCAUUGCACGUGUUGGUAUAAGGAAAGAAUUGUCACAUGGCUUUCACAACUAAGUAUUAUUUUUUAUUGUGACGCUGAACAUGUUUUUUAUGAAUUGUGAUUAAAUAAGAAUAUGUAAAUAGGAUUAGAAAAGAUAGCAGGAUUACUUUAUUUGCAAAUGUUUCUUUUUUUCUCUGCUUAUUUGAUCAUUCACGAGUCAUUUUCCCGAUACUUUGAGCUAAGAGUAUUUCAGCCGCUUUUCGGAGUAUUUUUUGAUCCUUAAGUUUUAUAUCUUUCUUAUGAAAUUUUCUUGUGGCAUUUACAACCAUAAUCAUACAGGAACGAGAUACAAAAUGUAGACAUGAAGCUAAAGAAAAGUCUCGAAUAUUAAGCGAUGAUAAUUGAUCGGAUAAGACAAAGCAACUUCCUCGAAAAAUAUCUUUUUCUCUAGAAAAAUUUAGUUAAAAACAAAGUUUUUGUAGAUGUUUUUAAACGUUUAUCAAUACGUGGUUUCAAUAAUAAAAUAUAAAGAAAAUGAAAAAGCUUUUUAAUACCAACCUUGUUCAAGACCUUUUUUUAAAAAUAAUAUUGACAUUUGUCAAGCAAUUGUGUAAGGGUUUCGAUUGCAAAAUAGACCCGAUGAAAUCGUUCGAUGAAAUGGUCCACAAAAAAAUGCUCGAGUUAUCGGGAGAAAAUUGAAAAAAAAGAAAAAAAAAUUUGUACUAUUACUUCAAGAUUCAGCAUUGGUUAUUGUAAACAGUUGCAUUUUUGUCGAAGCAAAAACAAAACCACUUCCAGUUCUAACAAAAAUUACGAUACCGACAGAAACAAGGAUUACCCCAGGGACAGGCGUUGCAUGCUUAAAAGACGUGCGCGGCGUAAAAAACUAAGCAGCAUUUCUCCUAAAAAUUUUUUAUUUUGAUUUUUUAACCAAAUAUUUCGAACAUUGCAACGUUCGCUUUAUAUUAUUAAUAUCUUGAAAUAUCGUUAAUAUUUUAGCAUUAGAUAUCAAUAAUUUGUAUGCGUCCAGUUAACGUUAAGUCAACAAACCUAAAUUGAACGUUAGAGUUUGGUUACUGGGUUUCAAAAUUUACAUACAACGAGGCGGAAGGCUUUAUCUUUUAGCAUUAUAGAAAGCAGAUUUUUGAACAUUUUCUCCGCUGCGUCGAAACCAACCAUAGUCAUCAAAGUAUGGGUUUCUUAUUAAUGUUACUACUGUAUCAACGGUCCUGCGAUACUUUUAUUGUCAGCCACUUUGUAAUAUGGCUUAUGGCCCACAAGACCCUGGGUCGAGGAUAAUACCUUCAGGAAAGAAAACUUUGAACCAGUCUGAACAAAAACAACUCUAACCCUAAUCCUAACACCUAGUUCUACUACAAGAUAUCCAGUGUAACAAUUGCGAUAGUCUUCUCGCAGUGCUAAAGACGCACAGCCAGGUAAAUAAGACUAGUUUUAAGCUGUUCACAUGAUACUUUUGCAUGCUCAGUGGUACUCUCUUUACCAGAACUUUUAGUUGGUCUGUUUAUAAACGACAUUUCUACAAACAUCAAAAAAUACAAGGUGAGGUUUACUCAACGAUAAUAUAAACGCUAAACUUCGAUCGCAGUGCAUGAAGUAUUUGCUUCAAGUGUGAUUCAAGGAAACUCAGAUCGAAACCAUGAAACUACUAUCGUAUACACGCACUUUCAGAGAUCACAAAAAUUCUAAAAAUAACUUUCAUCAAUGAUUGAUUUUGAUACGUUUUGAAUCGGCAUACUAAAUAAAGUAGACCUUCUCCUUAAGAAAGGUUUAAGAAGAAAUCAAACUAAGAUUACGCCGUUAAAAUAAUAUUACAUGUAAAAUAUUACAAAAGGUUAACAAAUGAAUUGCCGGGGCAAGUGAAAGACGCAAAUCGUCUUAUCGUGAAACUUUGUUAAUAGUUAAACUAUUAACAGUUAAUACAUUUUCUUGUAACCGUAAUAACAUAAAAUGAAACAAAGAUGUUUUAAAAAAAUUGAAUUACGUCAUUUUCAGUUUAAAGAAUGAGAUUCAUUACUUCACAUUUUUCUACACCUUCUAGACUUUAUAGAAUAGCCACUCACUUUAGAGUUGUUUAUGAUAUAGCGAGCCAGAAAACAGAAUGCACUAGUAACUAAGUAGAAAACACGAAAUAUUUUACCGUGCAAGUUAUAUUGCGCAGUGAUACGUAAUGGAAAGAUAUUUGAGCACGUUACUUCAAUUUCAGGUAACCUUUAUACACUCUGCUCGGCUGAUCAGGCUGACUCUUUUUAGUCAAAUAAUCUUUAGCUACUGCGACAAACGUUUAUUUUUUUAAUAAACAAGUUUUGCAAGGUAGACUCAAUGUUUCUUAAAAAUAAUUCAUGUAAGCCUGAAAUAUUCCCUAAAUCUUUCUUAAGUUUUUGAAUUUUUUUACCCUCUUGUUUCCUAAACUCAUGUUUCUUAUGCUACAUGCAAAUUUAUCUACUUUUUCUUCCAUUUAAAAAGCUGCCUUUGCUUUCCCUUUUGUUAAUUAUCUAUUUUAUUCUCAUGUUUGGUAAUCUCUUAUUUGUUGAAAGUAGAUUUGUCUUUUAUUUUAUUACCUGACUGAUACCAAAAUUCGGUUAGUAUGAAAAAAUCCGAUGAUUUGAUUGGUUUACGGUUGAUUAAAACAGGGCUUUGUAUGGAGUCAUACUAACCGGUUUGAUAAGCCAUUAUUAAAAUGGUAACAUAAAAACGUAAACAAAUAAAAACAUUUCCAUAGCACACAAAAAUAUAAAAGUAGCUCACUUAAAACCAUCUUUUCGUUUCAAUUCAUAUGAACAAUGAUUUGAAUUUGUUUUUUGAACUUACAAAAGUUAAAAUUGAACGAUUGUAAAUUUCAAAAAUACAAAAAUCGAACAUGCAUUUUUAUUCUUCCUUGGUGGCUUGGGAAUAGCAACUUAAAAAAGUAGCUUUGUUGUUUUUUGUUUAUGAAGGAAUUUUCAGAUAAGAUGCAGUCAUGUAAUAACUCGUUCAGGGCACAGACUUCGCAAGCUCGGUAUGCACUUUUGACCUCGGGCUUUGUAUUUCACAGUACAACAUCAAAGCCGAUCAGUAUCCGUUUGUGAUAAGUUAAUAUUCUCGUGCUUUUUUCAGAAAUAAAAUGCGUGUGAACGUUUUCUUAAAAUAUGAAGUGUUGAAACAAGAAGCAAGCUAUCCCGCUUGAACA